rnacentral:rRNA from 1 species
UACGUAGGUGGCAAGCGUUGUCCGGAUUUAUUGGGCGUAAAGCGCGCGCAGGCGGCUAUGUAAGUCUGGUGUUAAAGCCCGGGGCUCAACCUCGGUUCGCAUCGGAAACUGUGUAGCUUGAGUGCAGAAGAGGAAAGCGGUAUUCCACGUGUAGCGGUGAAAUGCGUAGAGAUGUGGAGGAACACCAGUGGCGAAGGCGGCUUUCUGGUCUGUAACUGACGCUGAGGCGCGAAAGCGUGGGGAGCAAACAGG